GCCACUAGAUGGCACUAGAUGUUCGGAUUAAAGUGCCUUCCUGAGCUCCACGGGCCCAGGGCGAGGGCAGGCAGGGUCUGAAGACAGCUUCUCUCGGCCACCGUCAUUCUCUCUCCCACUUCGCUCUUCACUUCUCAUCCCUUCCUCAUCCCAUUUAAACAUUAGAUUCCUUCCAGCAGCGGUGUUUGCGUGAUUUCAAAGGUAAGGACACAGAAGCCCAGGGAAUAUAAGUAACCUCCCAAAAAUCGCACAGCAGAUCCAACUAGCACAAUGUCAAUGAUGAAAUGGACCAGUGUCAUAUUCUGCGGGAUAUCAAGGCAAUCAAGAUCAUCUUGGACUGUAUUGUGACAGAGGGCCAGGGAGUGAACAGAGCCCU
rnacentral:lncRNA from 1 species